AUUGAACGCUGGCGGCAUGCCUUACACAUGCAAGUCGAACGGUAACGCACUAACAGCUUCCUCCGAGGGGCGACCGGGGGCGUAAUACAUCGGAACGUGCCCGAACCUGGUGGUUCACGGGGCGAAACGUUUGCUAAUACCCCAUACUACCUACUACUGAAAACGGGUGACCGCAAGGCCUUUCGCGACCUUGCCCGCCGAGGUCAGACUAGGUCGUUGGCGGGAGAAAGGCCCACCAAGGCGACGAUCUGUAGCUGGUCUGAGAGGAUGAUCAGCCACACUGGAACUGAGACACGGACCAGACUCCUACGGGAGGCAGCAGUGGGGAAUAUUGGACAAUGGGCGCAAGCCUGAUCCAGCCAUGCCGCGUGGGGGAAGAAGGCCUUCGGGUUGUAAAGCCCUUUUGUUGGGAAAGAAAAGCAUCAUGUUAAUACCGCGCUGUUCUGACGGUACCCAAAGAAUAAGCACCGGCUAACUUCGUG
rnacentral:rRNA from 1 species